rnacentral:rRNA from 1 species
GGCUGGGCGCAGCUACCAUGCAGUCGAGCGGUAACAGGGGUAGCUUGCUACCCGCUGACGAGCGGCGGACGGGUGAGUAAUGCAUAGGAAUCUGCCCGAUAGUGGGGGAUAACCUGGGGAAACCCAGGCUAAUACCGCAUACGUCCUACGGGAGAAAGGGGGCUCCGGCUCCCGCUAUUGGAUGAGCCUAUGUCGGAUUAGCUAGUUGGUAAGGUAAUGGCUUACCAAGGCAACGAUCCGUAGCUGGUCUGAGAGGAUGAUCAGCCACAUCGGGACUGAGACACGGCCCGAACUCCUACGGGAGGCAGCAGUGGGGAAUAUUGGACAAUGGGGGCAACCCUGAUCCAGCCAUGCCGCGUGUGUGAAGAAGGCCCUCGGGUUGUAAAGCACUUUCAGCGAGGAAGAACGCCUAUCGGUUAAUACCCGGUAGGAAAGACAUCACUCGCAGAAGAAGCACCGGCUAACUCCGUGCCAGCAGCCGCGGUAAUACGGAGGGUGCAAGCGUUAAUCGGAAUUACUGGGCGUAAAGCGCGCGUAGGUGGCUUGAUAAGCCGGUUGUGAAAGCCCCGGGCUCAACCUGGGAACGGCAUCCGGAACUGUCAGGCUAGAGUGCAGGAGAGGAAGGUAGAAUUCCCGGUGUAGCGGUGAAAUGCGUAGAGAUCGGGAGGAAUACCAGUGGCGAAGGCGGCCUUCUGGACUGACACUGACACUGAGGUGCGAAAGCGUGGGUAGCAAACAGGAUUAGAUAUCCUUGGUAGUCA